UACAGAGGUCCCAAGCGUUGUUCGGAAUUACUGGGCGUAAAGGGCUCGUAGGCGGCCAACUAAGUCGGAUGUGAAAUCCCCGGGCUCAACCUGGGAACUGCAUCUGUGACUGCAUCGCUGGAGUGCGGCAGAGGGGGAUGGAAUUCCGCGUGUAGCAGUGAAAUGCGUAGAUAUGCGGAGGAACACCGAUGGCGAAGGCAAUCCCCUGGGCCUGCACUGACGCUCAUGCACGAAAGCGUGGGGAGCAAACAGG
rnacentral:rRNA from 1 species